AGUCGAGGGGCAGCAUGGUCUUAGCUUGCUAAGGCUGAUGGCGACCGGCGCACGGGUGAGUAACACGUAUCCAACCUGCCGUCUACUCUUGGCCAGCCUUCUGAAAGGAAGAUUAAUCCAGGAUGGGAUCAUGAGUUCACAUGUCCGCAUGAUUAAAGGUAUUUUCCGGUAGACGAUGGGGAUGCGUUCCAUUAGAUAGUAGGCGGGGUAACGGCCCACCUAGUCAACGAUGGAUAGGGGUUCUGAGAGGAAGGUCCCCCACAUUGGAACUGAGACACGGUCCAAACUCCUACGGGAGGCAGCAGUGAGGAAUAUUGGUCAAUGGGCGAUGGCCUGAACCAGCCAAGUAGCGUGAAGGAUGACUGCCCUAUGGGUUGUAAACUUCUUUUAUAAAGGAAUAAAGUCGGGUAUGCAUACCCGUUU
rnacentral:rRNA from 1 species